rnacentral:ncRNA from 1 species
UGGGAGGGGCUAUGCACCUGUCAAACUGUAACGCAGGUGCCCUCAGGUGAGUUCAGGAAGGACAGAUACCUCCCAUGAAGCAGAAGGGCAAAAGCUUGUUUGAUCUUGGUUUCCAGUAUGAAUAUAGACCAUGAAUGCAUUGCCUCAGAAUCCCCAGGGUCCGGGG